rnacentral:rRNA from 1 species
AUUGAACGCUGGCGGCAGGCUUAACACAUGCAAGUCGAGCGAGCGGCGGACGGGUGAGUAAUGUCUGGGAAACUGCCUGAUGGAGGGGGAUAACUACUGGAAACGGUAGCUAAUACCGCAUACCAUCAGAUGUGCCCAGAUGGGAUUAGCUAGUAGGGGGGGUAAGGGCUCACCUAGGCGACGAUCCCUAGCUGGUCUGAGAGGAUGACCGGCCACACGGGAAUGGGGACACGGUCCAGACUCUUAGGGGAGGCAGCAGGGGGGAAUAUUGCGCAAGGGGGGCAAGCCUGAUGCGGCCAUGCGGGGUGUGUGAAGAAGGCCUUCGGGUUGAAAAGCACUUUCAGCGAGGAGGCGUUACUCGCAGAAGAAGCACCGGCUAACUCCGUGCCAGCAGCCGCGGUAUUC